rnacentral:rRNA from 1 species
UGUAUAAUGGGUCAGCGACUUAUAUUCUGUAGCAAGGUUAACCGAAUAGGGGAGCCGAAGGGAAACCGAGUCUUAACUGGGCGUUAAGUUGCAGGGUAUAGACCCGAAACCCGGUGAUCUAGCCAUGGGCAGGUUGAAGGUUGGGUAACACUAACUGGAGGACCGAACCGACUAAUGUUGAAAAAUUAGCGGAUGACUUGUGGCUGGGGGUGAAAGGCCAAUCAAACCGGGAGAUAGCUGGUUCUCCCCGAAAGCUAUUUAGGUAGCGCCUCGUGAAUUCAUCUCCGGGGGUAGAGCACUGUUUCGGCAAGGGGGUCAUCCCGACUUACCAACCCGAUGCAAACUGCGAAUACCGGAGAAUGUUAUCACGGGAGACACACGGCGGGUGCUAACGUCCGUCGUGAAGAGGGAAACAACCCAGACCGCCAGCUAAGGUCCCAAAGUCAUGGUUAAGUGGGAAACGAUGUGGGAAGGCCCAGACAGCCAGGAUGUUGGCUUAGAAGCAGCCAUCAUUUAAAGAAAGCGUAAUAGCUCACUGGUCGAGUCGGCCUGCGCGGAAGAUGUAACGGGGCUAAACCAUGCACCGAAGCUGCGGCAGCGACACUAUGUGUUGUUGGGUAGGGGAGCGUUCUGUAAGCCUGUGAAGGUGGCCUGUGAGGGUUGCUGGAGGUAUCAGAAGUGCGAAUGCUGACAUAAGUAACGAUAAAGCGGGUGAAAAGCCCGCUCGCCGGAAGACCAAGGGUUCCUGUCCAACGUUAAUCGGGGCAGGGUGAGUCGACCCCUAAGGCGAGGCCGAAAGGCGUAGUCGAUGGGAAACAGGUUAAUAUUCCUGUACUUGGUGUUACUGCGAAGGGGGGACGGAGAAGGCUAUGUUGGCCGGGCGACGGUUGUCCCGGUUUAAGCGUGUAGGCUGGUUUUCCAGGCAAAUCCGGAAAACCAAGGCUGAGGCGUGAUGACGAGGCACUACGGUGCUGAAGCGACAAAUGCCCUGCUUCCAGGAAAAGCCUCUAAGCAUCAGGUAACAUCAAAUCGUACCCCAAACCGACACAGGUGGUCAGGUAGAGAAUACCAAGGCGCUUGAGAGAACUCGGGUGAAGGAACUAGGCAAAAUGGUGCCGUAACUUCGGGAGAAGGCACGCUGAUAUGUAGGUGAAGCGACUUGCUCGUGGAGCUGAAAUCAGUCGAAGAUACCAGCUGGCUGCAACUGUUUAUUAAAAACACAGCACUGUGCAAACACGAAAGUGGACGUAUACGGUGUGACGCCUGCCCGGUGCCGGAAGGUUAAUUGAUGGGGUUAGCGGCAACGCGAAGCUCUUGAUCGAAGCCCCGGUAAACGGCGGCCGUAACUAUAACGGUCCUAAGGUAGCGAAAUUCCUUGUCGGGUAAGUUCCGACCUGCACGAAUGGCGUAAUGAUGGCCAGGCUGUCUCCACCCGAGACUCAGUGAAAUUGAACUCGCUGUGAAGAUGCAGUGUACCCGCGGCAAGACGGAAAGACCCCGUGAACCUUUACUAUAGCUUGACACUGAACAUUGAGCCUUGAUGUGUAGGAUAGGUGGGAGGCUUUGAAGUGUGGACGCCAGUCUGCAUGGAGCCGACCUUGAAAUACCACCCUUUAAUGUUUGAUGUUCUAACGUUGGCCCGUAAUCCGGGUUGCGGACAGUGUCUGGUGGGUAGUUUGACUGGGGCGGUCUCCUCCUAAAGAGUAACGGAGGAGCACGAAGGUUGGCUAAUCCUGGUCGGACAUCAGGAGGUUAGUGCAAUGGCAUAAGCCAGCUUGACUGCGAGCGUGACGGCGCGAGCAGGUGCGAAAGCAGGUCAUAGUGAUCCGGUGGUUCUGAAUGGAAGGGCCAUCGCUCAACGGAUAAAAGGUACUCCGGGGAUAACAGGCUGAUACCGCCCAAGAGUUCAUAUCGACGGCGGUGUUUGGCACCUCGAUGUCGGCUCAUCACAUCCUGGGGCUGAAGUAGGUCCCAAGGGUAUGGCUGUUCGCCAUUUAAAGUGGUACGCGAGCUGGGUUUAGAACGUCGUGAGACAGUUCGGUCCCUAUCUGCCGUGGGCGCUGGAGAACUGAGGGGGGCUGCUCCUAGUACGAGAGGACCGGAGUGGACGCAUCACUGGUGUUCGGGUUGUCAUGCCAAUGGCACUGCCCGGUAGCUAAAUGCGGAAGAGAUAAGUGCUGAAAGCAUCUAAGCACGAAACUUGCCCCGAGAUGAGUUCUCCCUGACUCCUUGAGAGUCCUGAAGGAACGUUGAAGACGACGACGUUGAUAGGCCGGGUGUGUAAGCGCAGCGAUGCGUUGAGCUAACCGGUACUAAUGAACCGUGAGGCUUAACCUUACAACGCCGAAG